rnacentral:lncRNA from 1 species
GCCUAUUAGGUGACGGCCUUUCCUUUUUGACGCUGAACAAGGAGGGGAGAAAAUCUCCUACUCUAACAUUUUUCUAGAACCAAACCUCCCCUAUUUUUUUUCCUCCCCAUGCUCUCUAUCUCUCUUGCACUCUCUCUCUUUUUCGCUCCCUAUCUCUCUCGCACUCUCCUUCCUUUCUCACGCUUCUCCACCCACAACUUUUCCCUUCUUCUCUCUUUCUCUCUAUUUUCAUCUUCUUCCUCUUUUUUCUUCUCUGUUUCUUUUCUUUGGAUGGCUGCUGCCUUGAUUAGCUUCAUAUGUAAACCUUAAACACUUUUUAUAUUUAGCUGAUUUAAAUUGAAAGUUAAUUAGUAGAUGGUAGGGUAGUAAGGAACAUAAGGGCUAAAGGCUUAAAACAAUGGAUAUAGAAGAAUUUUAGGGGGAAAGAAUAUUAAGAAAAAGAAUGUUAAGGAAAGUAACAAUAUUAAUGGGAAAAGAAUCUUAAAGAAGAAGGGAUGAUUUAGGAAGGUGG